rnacentral:lncRNA from 1 species
GCACCCACAGCAUAUGGAGGUUCCCAGGCUAGGGGUCUAAUUGGAGCUGCAGCUGCAGGCCUACACCACAGCCAUAGCAAUACCAGAACUGAGCUGCGUCUGCAAACUACACUGCAGCUCAUGGCAAUGCUAGAUCCUUAAUCCACUGAGUGAGGCCAGGGAUUGAACUCACAUCUUCAUGGAUACUGGGUUCAUUACUGCUGAGCCACAGUGGGAACUCCAGAAACUUGAAACUUUCCCCUCACCCUCUAUCCUCCAGAAGAGGGAGCGGGAGUGGAAACUGGGUUAAUGGUUGAUCUUGCAUGUGUCAUAUAAGCUCCAUAAAAACUCCAGAAGUACCAGCUUCAGAGAGCUCCCAGGUCAGGUUGGUAGAAGUGCUUGGAGAGUGGUUUGCCCCUUCCCAUGCAUCUUGCCCUAUGUAUCUCUGCAUCUGUCUGUAUCCUUUAUUAUGUCCUUUGUAAUAAACUGGCAAACAAAGGUGUUCCCCUAAAUUCUGUGAUCCACUUUAGCAAAUUAUUGAAUCCAAGUAAGGGUUUAUGGGGAUGCUGAUAUAUAGCCUGCCCAUCAGAAGGGCAAGUGACCACCUGGGACUUGUGGCUGGUGUCUGAAGUGGGGACAGUCUUGUGGAACUGAGUCCUUAACCUGUGGGGUCUGAUGCUAACUCCAGGUAGAUGGUGUCAGAAUCGGAUUAAAUUUUAAGACACCCAGCUGGUGUUGCAGAGAAUUGCUUGAUGUGCGGAAAACCUAUACAUCUGGUGUCAGAAAUAUUGUAUGUGAGUAAAGAAACACAGGUGUGAUUUUCCUAGAAAGAGGGGAAGGUUCCAAAGAAGAGAAUGACUGUGGGACUGGGGUUUACAGAAAAGGAUGGGAUUUACAUGACUGAGGUCAGAAAGCUCUUCCUCUGAGCCUACACGACCGAAAUGAGGGUGAAGAUAAAGGGCAGUAAAGUUACAUUAUCAGAAGCCAAGUCCUCCAAAGAGUACAGAAAAACCUGUUAAUCAAGCAACACUAAAGGAAGGAUAUUUAUGGGGCUUGGGGAUUUGGGUUCAAGUGGUUUAAGGCCAUUCUAAGGGGGAGUCUGAUUAGAACUGGGCAGAAUUCAUGACAUAAUAGUUUAGUGUUGGUGGAUGCAGCAAGGUGAAGGGCAAGUCUUGGGUAAGUAAACAGUUAUUUGACAAGUGAACUGUUGCCUGAGUAAAUAGUCUAUUGUCUUGAGAAGAAAGCUGUUUGACAGAUGAACAAUUUAUUUGCUCAGACAAAAGCAAAUGUGAAAGUUAUUUAUUGGUUUACAGCGUUUUCUUCCUAGACAGGAAUUUCCUGGAAAGAAUACUGCUGUAUUGACAGAGAUGGUCUUAGGCUCAGUCCUGACCCUUAAGCUCUGUUGAUGCCAUAGCCUGCACGCUCAACAUUGAGGGCCUCCUUAAGAGUGAACAUGGGAGUUCCCCUGUGGCUCAGUGGGUUAAGAACCCAUCUAGUAUCCAUGAGGACUCAGAUUGAAUCCCUGGCCUCGCUCAGUGGGUUAAGGAUCCUGCAUUGCCAUGAACUGUGGCAUAGGUCAGCAGGUGCAGCUCUAAUUCAACACCUGGCCGGGGAACUUCCAUAUGCUGCAAGUGCAGCCUUGAAAGGAAAAAAAAAAAAGAGUGAGCAUGAACUAGAAACUUUUCCAAAUUUUGCUGGGCAUUAAAAUCAUCCAAAGACCUUCCAAAAAAAUAUUGAUGCCUGGUUUCCACCCCCAAACAUUGAUUUAGUUGCUAUGGGGUGCAACUUGGGCACCAGGACUUUUAAAUGCCCCACAGGUGAUUCUAAAACAAAAUGUUUGGGAACCACUUCUCUAGAGUUAAAAGAGAAAGUCAGCAUGAAAUAACCCUUUGGUUAUUUAUAACCCAUAAAAGAUUGAUAAGCCACAAUCAGUGAUUACUGAGCUUUGAUUCAGAGUGUAUAAUUGAGCUUUGGGAUUUUUGUCAAAUAGGUGAAAAGAAUAUCUCAGAAUAGUUUUAAUUCACAUUUCUCUGAGAAUGAGUGUAUCUUUAUAUAUUUAAAAGCUAUCAGUAGUUCCUUUUCUGUCAACCAUCCCCUCAUAUCCUUUCAUGCAAAUAUCAAGUUUCUUGUAGCAAAUCCUUUUCCUUCCUUUAAAAAUGUAAAUAGAGUUCCCAUCAUGGCUCAGCUGAAAUGAAUCUGACUAGCAUUCAUGAGGACACAGGUUCAAUCCCUGGCCUUGUUCAGUGGGUUAAGGAUCCAGCGUUGCCAUCAGCUGUGGUGUAGGUCUCAGACACAGCUUGGAUCUGGCAUUAUUGUGGCUGUGGUGUAGGUUGGUGGCUACAACUCCGAUUCAACCCCUAGCCUGGGAACCUCCAUAUGUUGCACAUGUGGUCCUUAAAAAAAAAAAAAAAGUUCAGAAGACAGGCACAAAUUUCAAAAAAAAAUCAAAAUGGAAAUGGUUUUAUUGUUAUUUCUGAUUAUUAAAAUGAUUAGAAUUAUGUUUUCAUGGUACAAAAAUUUAAAUAAAAUGUAAAGGGACAAAAUUAUUACUUGGAGUUCCCUUGUGGCUCAGUAGGUUAAGGAUCCAGCAUUUUCACUGCAGUGGCAUGUUUUUUAAAAAAAAAAAAAACAUGAUUCAUUCAACAAAUAUUUUUGCGGUAUGAGUAUUACAAAGGUCAUACUAUGUAUACCAUUUUGUAACUUGUUUUUUUUCAUUUAAAGAUGGAUCAUGGAAAGAUUGUUCUUAGCCUUAUGUGCAGAUAGUUGAGUCAACAAAGUAUAAAAUGUAAUUCAGCAAGCAGUAAUGGAGCUUCUCUCAUCCCCUCCAGGCUGCUGUGUCUGUCUAUUCUGAUAAAGAUGCCAGUUGAACCAGUGACAGGGAUUGACAGAGCAAUAUUACCAAGUUGGGUGGACUCUACCUCUUUGUUCAGCUACAGCAAG